AACUAUCUUUACCAAUCGAUAAUACAUACAACUGUAAGGAGAACGUCUGCCACGUAAUAGAGCGUUCUGUUGGGUAGCCAUCUUGAGCUAGAAUUUAUACUGGGCUCUAAAUGUGUUACCGCUUAAACGGCUUCUGACCAUGGGACAGAGCAGUAGUUGCUUUACUGAUCGAGAGCUCGAAGCCUACGAGACAGCAACAUAUCUCUCUCGGAACGAAAUCCAUGUAGCUUUUAAAACAUUUUGGAACUUGGAUAAAGCCAAUGUUUCUGU